AUAAGUUAACACACUAUACUAUUCAAAAAAAAAAUAUUCAUUCAAGGAGAGGGUGAUGAUGAUGAAGGGGGCGGCAUUGGCGGCUGAUAUAAAGAGAAACCUUGGGGUGAUGAAGGAAAGGGUGUUGGAGAAACUGGCUGCUGCUGCAGUCCCUGCCGAUGCUUUGGAGAAUGCUAGGCAUUUCUUGGAGAGUGUGGUGAGGGAUGUUACGGUUGCUGCUCAGGGUCUUACCAAGGAUGCUUUGCACCGUAUCAAGACUCAUCUUGUUGAUAUUCUUCCUUC
rnacentral:lncRNA from 1 species